rfam:Serratia proteamaculans 568, complete genome.
AGCAGGGAGCAUCCACAACAAAAAAGAGUGAACCGGCGGCGCCUGGAAAAGCGCGGCCGGCGAAC